rnacentral:lncRNA from 1 species
UUGAAUCCUUAUUCUCUCCCAACUCUCUCUGAACUAUCAUGAACCCUAGCCACCGGCCUCUAAUACCUACCUAAUCCAUGGCCUUCCGUGGUCAUUUGAGACCUGGACCAACCUUCCAUGGCUCCUAUGUGUUUGGUUCUAUGGUUUUAUACCAGACCUGAAAGAGUUUUGUCCAGUCCUUUCUCAACUAUUAUUCAUGGCUUUUCUCCGGCCAUUCAUGGCCUUUCAAGGCAGGUCCUUGAUAUUUGUUAGUUAGAUCGUUUACUUUCGAGAUCUUUCUUGUUUCUUUUGGGUUUUCUAAAACCCUAAUAUCUAAGACCUUUUGAUUUCUUUUAAAUCUACCUUAGAUCUAUGCUUACCAUGAACUUUUUAAGUUUUUUCUUGAAGUUUCUUCAACUUUUCUUUCAAAACGACUCUUCAUUUUUCCAACGAUUAGGGGUUUCCCUUUAAGUUUCUUCUCUGAUCUUAAUGUUUGAUGAUUUUGCUAUUUGCUCAUGUUGUUCUUCUAUCUAUUUCAGCAUGAUAAAACCCUACUUCUUUUAGUCUUAUCCGAGUUUUGGAAAUUAUUUGUUUAAAUGUAUACUUGCUUGAUUAAGUUCUUCGUUCUUGUUUGACUUAUUUGAUUCUGAGUUUUACUAUCUUUUGAACUCGAUUAUUAUGGAAAUCCCUAGGUCUUUUGGUCUGAGACUGUUUGUUUGAAAGUAUAAUGGACUCGAUUAAAGGUUCCUAAUUUU